AGAGAACCUCAGCAAAAACACCUGCUGCAAAGCGAUCCACAAAGAGGCGAGGGCACUGACAGAUCUGCUGGACAUGUUUGUCGUUUUCCCCGGACAUCUGCCUCUGCAUGCCAUCAAAGACCUGCCAUCACUGGCAGGUAGGUCCAUAAAUGGCAAGUCCACACAUUAUACUUUUCCAUGUAUGUAUUUGGAUAUUCAAACCUUAUUCUCUUUUCUCAGGCUUCCCCAGAGUGAUGGGGGCCGUAGACUGCACGCACAUCCCCAUUACAGCCAGUCUGGGACCAAGUGAGGCAGACUAUGUGAAUAGGAAAAACUUCCACAGCCUCAAUAUUCAGGUAGCGUGAAGUCUAAGCAAUGCACCAAUAUUUGUAAUAUACUAAUAUAAGUUCCAGUUUCAUGUGGCAUAUCAGUCAUUUAGAAUGUAUUUAAGCAGAUUUGAAAACUCCUGUUAACACCAAAUGUGUCUGCAGAUGACAUGUGACCAUCAAAUGAUGGUCACUAAUCUUGAGGCAAAGUCGCCAGGUUCCGUGCACGACUCCUGCAUCUUCAGAGAGUCACAGCUGUGCAGGAAACUCGAGCAGGGUAAAACUACUGUACACUGAAUCUGUUCUUUGAUGUCAACCACAUUUUCAGCUCCUCAAGGCUCUUCCUCUUUAUCUGCAGGGCUCUUCAGUGGAGUGCUGCUGGGAGACAGAGGGUACGCCUGCCAGCCCUACCUGCUGACCCCCUAUCCUGACCCUGGUGCCAGUCAGCAAACUUUGUUUAAUGUGGCCCUGGCUAAAACCAGGGUCAAGAUAGAGAUGACCUU